UACGUAGGUGGCAAGCGUUGUCCGGAUUUAUUGGGUUUAAAGGGUGCGUAGGCGGCUUUGUAAGUCAGUGGUGAAAUAUGGCAGCUCAACUGUCAGGGUGCCAUUGAUACUGCGGAGCUUGAGUACAGAUGAGGUAGGCGGAAUUGACGGUGUAGCGGUGAAAUGCUUAGAUAUCGUCAAGAACACCGAUAGCGAAGGCAGCUUACUAGGCUGUAACUGACGCUGAGGCACGAAAGUGUGGGGAUCAAACAGG
rnacentral:rRNA from 1 species